rnacentral:rRNA from 1 species
GAUGAACGCUGGCGGCGUGCCUAAUACAUGCAAGUCGAGCGAACAGACGAGGAGCUUGCUCCUCUGACGUUAGCGGCGGACGGGUGAGUAACACGUGGAUAACCUACCUAUAAGACUGGGAUAACUUCGGGAAACCGGAGCUAAUACCGGAUAAUAUAUUGAACCGUAUGGUUCAAUAGUGAAAGACGGUUUUGCUGUCACUUAUAGAUGGAUCCGCGCCGCAUUAGCUAGUUGGUAAGGUAACGGCUUACCAAGGCGACGAUGCGUAGCCGACCUGAGAGGGUGAUCGGCCACACUGGAACUGAGACACGGUCCAGACUCCUACGGGAGGCAGCAGUAGGGAAUCUUCCGCAAUGGGCGAAAGCCUGACGGAGCAACGCCGCGUGAGUGAUGAAGGUCUUCGGAUCGUAAAACUCUGUUAUUAGGGAAGAACAAAUGUGUAAGUAACUAUGCACGUCUUGACGGUACCUAAUCAGAAGGCCACGGCUAACUACGUG